rnacentral:lncRNA from 1 species
AUCUCUUCUUUUCGAUCGAAUUCAGCAUCAGCCAACUUGGGACCUUGAGGGUGCUAUCUUUCUUUUGUUUUUGUUUUGUUGUUUUUUUUUCUUUCUGUUGAUUUCUUUUGAUUUCUUUUGAUUUUGCACCCUCCUCUUUCUUUUUUCUUUUUUUUUCUUCUUCUCUUUUUUUUUUGAUAAUGCCCCAGUUGGCUGUUCUGCUGAUUCUCGAGAUGCAGCUGAGUGAUCUUCUUUUCUUGCUCAAGAAGUCGGGAAAUCUCGUCAGGAAUCCCUUCAACAUCAUCUUCG